GUAGGUGAACCUGCGGAAGGAUCAUUAGUGAAUUUAGCGUUUCUCUUAACAGAGCGCGACCCUCCACUUUCUUAACUCUGUGAACUUUUUUGGUCGAGCAUUAGGAACUUUGGUGGACUUUUAGUAGUCGGCCUUGGGAAGUUUUGCUUGACGGCUCAUUUUAAACACUAGUACAAGUAUGUAACGAAAUAUCGAAAUAUAAAAAAACUUUCAACAACGGACCUCUUGGCUCUC
rnacentral:misc_RNA from 1 species